rnacentral:sRNA from 1 species
GCAAAGCCGGCUAUAAAAUCACUUGCAACUCCAGUGCGAGAGCCCUUGGGCGACCAGAGAGGGAGAGGUUCCGGCCUGCUACCUCCUGGUCUCCUCUCUUCUAUCCAAGUUUGAGAAGGCCAGAGAUAUAUGCAUGCUUGCUUGUAUCAUGUGAGUUCAUGCGCAAGCAUGGAUAUCUAGCUCUAUUACUGCAUGCAUUGGUGUUAAUUAGUAGGUGCAUGCAUGGCAUCCUCGUCAAUCCUGAUUGAUGUUUUGAACAACUGGUAGCUAGCAGUGUCGGCUGGAGCCAUGUACAUUGCUGAUAGAGGCCGGCGAGCGGCAUUGUUGCCGGCUGGAGAGAGGCUGGCCUUCACGCGGUGAACCAAGCUAGGAUAGAAGAACAAAAAAUGGGUCAUGUGGCAAGCAGCUUCUGUUUAUUUAUUUUUCGUUUGUUCAUGCUGUUUGAUUGUUCUCU